GUUUCUGGAUUACAAAUACUAACUCGCACUUGAGUUGGAUGGACACUGUCAGUCAGGUAUGCAACCUGGUGUGGUCUAAGAAUGUCAACAAAUUAGUUUGCACCCAUGGCUACUCUCAAAAACAAAUAAUUGUGUGGAGAUAUCCUACAAUGUCGAAGUUGGCAACACUUACUGGGCAUACAUAUAGAGUUCUAUAUUUUGCGAUAUCACCUGAUGUUCAGGUACUUAAAAUUCCACUCUUUGAAUUCAUUUUUUCCUUGAUCAUCUGACUCUGCAUUACCAUUCCUUUGCUUUUUUUCUUUUCAUAAAUUUAAUAAAUGUCCUUGUCCUUGGACAAUUGUCACCGAGGCAGGAAAUGAAACUCUUACAUUCUGGAAUGUUUUCCCUUGUCCAAAAU